rnacentral:rRNA from 1 species
UACGGGGGGGGCAAGCGUUGUUCGGAAUCACUGGGCGUAAAGGGAGCGUAGGCGGGCUCUUAAGUUAGGUGUUUAAUCCCGGGGCCCAACCCCGGACAGGCACCUAAAACUGGGAGUCUUGAAUAGUGGAGAGGUCAGUGGAAUUGGGGGUGUAGCGGUGGAAUGCGUAGAGAUCCCCAAGAACACCAGUUGCGAAGGCGGCUGACUGGACACAUAUUGACGCUGAGGCUCGAAAGCAUGGGGAGCAAACAGG